UCAGACAUGGUGUAACGGCAACACCAUCUCUAUAGUUGAGUUUCCUGCACCUUGAUUAUGAGGCUGAUCUGGGUUCGAAUCCCUGUGUCUGAA